AAUCAACGCUGGCGGCGUGCCUCAGACAUGCAAGUCGAACGAGAACCCUCCCUUCGGGGAGGGACGAGUGGCGCGACGGGUGAGUAACACGUGGGUAAUUUACCUUUGGGUGGGAACAACAGCCGGAAACGGCGUGCUAAUACCGCAUAAUGCAGCGGCUCGACAUCGAGACAAGUUGUUAAAGCGGGGAUCGCAAGACCUCGCGCCUGAAGAGAAGCCUGCGGCGGAUUAGCAGUUGGUA
rnacentral:rRNA from 1 species